GCACCCUUAGCUCAGUUGGUAGAGCAGCAGACUCUUAAUCUGUGGGUCCACGGUUCGAGCCCGUGAGGGUGUACCA
rnacentral:tRNA from 1 species